rnacentral:lncRNA from 10 species
GGACUGUAGUUGUGACAGCCAGGAAACCGAGAACGGAAUGCCAAUACUGCUUAGGCUUAGAGUUUGAAAGGCAUCUGAUUUCACUGCCAUGUCUUUGAACAGCAGUGCACAGUGCAGUCUUCUUCGUGGCUGAACAGCCACUCGAUGUCUUUUGAUUGGAGAGUUUAAUCAAACAGAAGGAGUCUUCCAUUGUGGCCACCACAGCUGGGAAUGAGCUAAGGUCUUGCUAUGUUGCCUAGACUGGUUUUGAACUCCUGGGCUGAAGCAAUCCUCCCACUUCGGCCUCUCAAAGUGCUGGGAUAUCAGACAUGAGCCACCUGCCAUGCUUGGCCUAUAAUCAUGAAAAGAUCAACCCCAAGAAAGAAAAGGAAACAUGGAAGGACCUGGACUGGAGUCACGCCAGUACAAGGAGGAUACUGGCAAAGAUGAGCUGCCUAGGAAUAGCCAGGCAACCAGCUGCUACUUUGAGCACCCGGCUAAAAUAAGCAGAGACAACUGGAAGGCUUGAUGUGAAAAAGAGCUGUUGAAGUGUACACAAGCAAGCUGACUGCCUUAUGACUAAUACUUGACAGAACCCAGCAAGAGGAUAUGAGAUUGCAGAUGGAUGACCUCAAUCCUGAACAGAAAGGCGUGCAUGAUAAUGGAGAGAAAAAAGCCAAUGGGGAAAAAAAACCCACCACUAUUUUUUUAAUAGCCUAACACACACACAAAAAACUGGUUUUCCUUUUUCUGUAAUGUGUCUGUAGAGCUGGCUAUUCUGAUUAAAGUUGCCCUUGAAAAAGCAAUUAACUUAAGAGUCUUACUGGAAGUUAAAAAUCCCAAGGGGCAGGAAAAAUGAGUGUAUGGGAAGCCCAGUCAACAGGUCAGAAGGUACAGCUGGGAGGUUUUAGCAUUACGUACCGUGUGUUUUUCGUUUAAGGGAGAAGCUUAUUUGCUCACUGCUAUAGUUUGGAUGUUUGUCCCCUUCAAAUCUUGUGAUGGAAUCUGAUCCCCAGUGUUGGAAGUGGGGCCUAAUGGGAGGUGUUUGGGUC